UGAACGCUGGCGGCGUGCCUAAUACAUGCAAGUCGAGCGAACAGACGAGGAGCUUGCUCCUCUGACGUUAGCGGCGGACGGGUGAGUAACACGUGGAUAACCUACCUAUAAGACUGGGAUAACUUCGGGAAACCGGAGCUAAUACCGGAUAAUAUAUUGAACCGCAUGGUUCAAUAGUGAAAGACGGUUUUGCUGUCACUUAUAGAUGGAUCCGCGCCGCAUUAGCUAGUUGGUAGGGUAACGGCUUACCAAGGCGACGAUGCGUAGCCGACCUGAGAGGGUGAUCGGCCACACUGGAACUGAGACACGGUCCAGACUCCUACGGGAGGCAGCAGUAGGGAAUCUUCCGCAAUGGGCGAAAGCCUGACGGAGCAACGCCGCGUGAGUGAUGAAGGUCUUCGGAUCGUAAAACUCUGUUAUUAGGGAAGAACAAAUGUGUAAGUAACUAUGCACGUCUUGACGGUACCUAAUCAGAAAGCCACGGCUAACUACGUG
rnacentral:rRNA from 1 species